rnacentral:rRNA from 1 species
UACAGAGGGGGCAAGCGUUGUUCGGAAUUACUGGGCGUAAAGGGCGCGUAGGCGGCCCGCUAAGUCGAACGUGAAAUCCCCCGAGCUCAACUCGGGAACUGCGUCCGAUACUGGCGGGCUUGAAUCCGGGAGAGGGAUGCGGAAUUCCAGGUGUAGCGGUGAAAUGCGUAGAUAUCUGGAGGAAUACCGGUGGCGAAGGCGGCAUCCUGGACCGACAUUGACGCUGAGGAGCGAAAAGCUAGGGGAGCAAACGGG